GGCUUGGUAGCAUAGUGGUAUGCAUCUGCAUCUUGUGGUUGUGAUAGAUGUCUUUGGUCAACAGACUACCUCGGUUCGAAUCCCAACUGAGCCG